rnacentral:rRNA from 1 species
CCAGCAGCCGCGGUAAUUCCAGCUCCAAUAGCGUAUAUUAAAGUUGUUGCAGUUAAAAAGCUCGUAGUUGAAUUUCUGGGAGGUCCAUGCGGCGCGGUAUUUCCGUGCUCGCAAUGUUCCUCCCAUCCUCGCAGGGAAGGCAUCGGCAUUCAUUUGUCGGUGUCCGGAACUGCGUCUUUUACUGUGAAAAAAUUAGAGUGUUUAAAGCAGGCGUUUCGCUUGGAUACAUUAGCAUGGAAUAAUAAGAUAGGACCUAUGGGUCUAUUUUGUUGGUUGCGGCCCGAGGUAAUGAUUAAUAGGGAUAGUUGGGGGUAUUCAUAUUUAAUUGUCAGAGGUGAAAUUCUUGGAUUUAUUAAAGAUGAACUACUGCGAAAGCAUUUACCAAGGA